rnacentral:lncRNA from 1 species
GUAAAACAUUAUUCAUUAGAGCAAAAGCAUUUCAGAGAAACUGUUUUGAGGCUGUGAAAGCCAACUCCAUGCCUGUCUGUGCAUCACUGUGGCUGCCCAUUUCCUGAGUGGGGAACGUAGCAUCUUUCUGUAGGUCCCACCACAGCCUGCUUGGUCCAGCAGGCAUAAAGUGUGCACGAGCACAUGCUGUGGAAAGAUCAGGUGCUGAUGAACAAGGAGAUUUCUGCUGAGGAAGUUCACUGUAAAACUGAGUCUACUCUGCACUCAGGAUAUUGGGACUCUGACUCCUGCUGCACUCUCUGGGUGCUGUCGCAACAAUUAACAUAAUAUCUACAAAGUCCCACUGCUCAGCAGAUCAGGUCCCACGUCAUAUCCAUAGGCAUCUUACAGAACAGGAAGAUGGCAAACACACCACUGAGGAGUGUAGUAGCAACUUGAUCAUUGGCACAUUUUCAUAGAAUCAUAACAGUUGGAAAAGACCCCUAAGAUCAUCUAGUCCAGCCAUCAACCUAUUCCCACUAACCAUGUCCCUCAGUGACACACCUACCGUUCAUACACAUCUCCUAAGAACCAAGACAACAAAAAAUGCAUAUGUUUUGUGAGGUUUUCUGAAUUUUCAGAAAGGAGAAAAAAUGUGGGAAAUGUGUAGAACAGUGUUAUUUUCUCCCCCAGACUGCCUUUUCCCACAUCCUGCUCUUUUUAUAGCUGUAGUCUGCUGCUCCCCCUAUUAGCUUCCUAUUGUGGGAUUUUGUGUAAAACCAUCACACUGCUUCAUAUAGCUGUAUUGCUUGCAUGAUAACACCUAAUACAUUUCUUGUGCUAGGACUGCCUCUAAGAUCUGGACUGGAGGGUACAAGAUAAAACCUCACUGAGCAGACGAGGUCUUCAUCCAGAUUAGAGCGAUCUUGCUAAGUGUUCACUGCUUGGUCAGAAGAGAGCCCGUGUCCUACCCCUGGCUGGACACUGAGAGUAGAAUCAAACAAAAUGGCUUUGCAAGCUUUUUGAGAGGGCACAAAACGAUCAUACCGAUUUUUGGAGACUGUUCUUUGCUGAUUGCAAAUGGCAGUAGUGGUGUAAUCAUCCUUCUGUGCAUGUGAAGCCUGUAACAAUUUGUUCAUAAACAGAAGUCUUUUUCCUUUCCCAAGUGUGUGUGCAGCAUUUAUUUGUGUAACCUGGGGACAAUUCUGUCACUACCUGGACUUCUGCCUGUGGUCUGCAAAACAAAAAUGUUUAUAACUUCAGUUCAGAUUAACCAUUAUCCAAAUAAUAAAUCACAGAUGUUACUUCUUCA